AUCUUUCUUUAUCCUCGUCCAUUUACCCUUACUCCUUCAUUUUCAAACACAAAAACAAAAUCCCCAUAUCUUUCUUUAUCCUCAUCCAUUUACCCUUACUCCUUCAUUUUCAAACACAAAAACAAAAUCAGCUACCUUACUCCUUUCUCCCUUACUCACGGCUGACCCACGAACACCACCAUCAACCGGCAGCCCAGCCACGAGCUCCACCACCAACAGCAACCACUUCUCCUCCUUCCUUUAUUGUUGUUCAUCAAGAUUGAAAGUUGAAGGGUCCUUCAAUGGUGAUUGAGGGUCUAUCUCUUACAGGGGUAGAUCCACUUUCAGGUUGCCAUCUUUAGUGCAGAUGGAUGUGCUGCUCAUUUAUGUGUCAUGUGUUGCGAUAGCGAGGACAUCGUUUUCGAAAGGUUAACUUAUAAUGAUAUUUUGACAAAUCAUGUCUUUGUAUAAAAAUAAUAGAUAUUUUAUAAUGUAUUAAUUUAGUUUAUAACUGGGUUGUAAGUAAUUGUAUUACAGUUAUAUAAAGUUUUUAAAUACUCUGAUAUUGGUUGCUGUGGUUGUCGAACCACAGGUCGGAUUCAGCCCAGACUUCUAUAAGUCUUCCGCUGUGCUUUUUAGACAAUAAUAAUUUAUUGUUUACGCUGGUUUGGGCUGUUUCAAAAAGCCUCGAAGAACCACAGAAGCAGAGGCGUCUUUGAAGGAGGUCGUUUGUCGAUUGGCGUCUGGCGUCUGGCGUCUGUCGACUGUCGAUGGGUUGAAGCUUGAAGAGUUGAAGGAAGCGAGGCGAGGCGACUGUCGACUUCAGAGACUUCAGAGACUCAGGCGAGGCGAGGAAGAGAGAAGAAUGGGAGAAGGAAGCAGCUUUGCCUUUUCGUUAUUUACGGCAGCAGAGGUCGAGGUCUCGAGGAAACAGGAAAUAAGGAAUACAGCAGGAUAGACCUAAAUCUAAUCCCUAAUAUUAGAGUUUAUUGCGGUUUAUUAGUCCGGUUUGGUCUACAAAAUUAAAAACCGGGACCGGACCGUAAACCGUUUAAAAAAAAAAACCGGACCAGACCAUUCAGACCGUAGACCAGACCAAAUACUUAAAUUACGGUUUGGUUCGGUUUGGUUUACGGUUUAGACCAAACUGUGUUCAGCCCUAUCGAUAACUCUAUACAAUAAAAAAAAAAUCAAAAAAUAUAAUUUUAAAAAAUAAACAUAAUACUAAUCAUGAUAUGAAAGAUCA